rnacentral:lncRNA from 1 species
CCAAAUAAAUAAAAUUAUAAUUUAAGGUCCAAUGGUCCAAAUAAUAUAGUCCAGUAUUACAAAUUUAAUAAAACCCAAAAGCCCAAACUAAAUACUUAGACCCAUUAAACCCCAAAUUAUUAAACCCAAAAUUCAAGCCCAAAUAUUAAGACCCGAAUAGCCCAACAAGCCUAAACCCAGAUACAGCCCGAACCCAAUUAAGCCCAAACUAAACGACCCGAAUCCUAGAAACCCCUAGGGUUUCUGAAAUACUCUCGCGCCUCAGCAGCAGCAGUUUUUUUUUGCCCUCGCGCAGCAGCAGAGUCAGACCCCGCGCGUGCUGCGCCUCCGUGCCAGGUCCACACGUACCUCCUCCAGGCUGUACCUGUAACAAAUGGAAUAAGAACAGCGCAGCAAACAGAAAACAACAAAAAAACGCAGAGAAAAUGAGGAUAACAGAAAAAGAAAACGAAAAAGAAAAAGAAAAUAGAAUAGAGUUUUUUUUUUUCAUUUUCUGGCUAUAAAAGCCUUAUUUCUUGAUGUACUGAGGAUUCCUCUUUUUAAUUACGCACACUGAAAUACAGAAAAAAAUCAAGAAAAGAAAAAAAAUCAGAUUUGAGAAGGUGAUUUUGAGUUUUUUUUCUGUUCCUCUUUCGUUUUUUAGUUCUGUGAUUUGUUUUAUUUACCGCCUAAGAAAAUGAAACAGAAGAAGAGUUAAAGGUUAUUACCUUUGUCGCGACGCCGAAUCCUUGUCCACUUCGUCAUCAUCGAAGAUCGGACGGGGAUACAGAAGGACGGAGCGGCGCUUGGAAGCAUUGAGGUCUUUAGUUUGUUUUUUAAACGAUCAAAACAUCU